rnacentral:lncRNA from 10 species
GUGCGUGCCGCUAAGUUGUGCGUUCCAGGGUGCACUCGCCGGCGAGGCUGCACGGCGCCGGUUUCAUUGCUAAAAUCCGACGGACUUGUUGCAGAACUCGUUUUUUUUGUCGGGAAAGGGCUUCCCCGUGUAACUUUACAGCAGUUAUCGUAGAUAAGACUUGCAAAUUACAGAUGUGGACGGUGAGGGAACGGGAAUUUCACUGAAAGCGCCUGAGAACCAGUAAGAGACCUGCAACAGCUUUGUGCUCCACUGGCGAAUGCUUCCUCCCCUAAUACACAUUAUGUGUGCUUGGAGACACAAGGAGUAAGAUACAGCCCCUCAAGGGACUCGUCAUAGGGAGAGGACACAGCUUUGGGAAUAAAGGGGCCACAAAGGAGGAGAGAGGAGUUUGCUGAAACUUCCCAAGCUCCCAUUCCAGCAGUUCCUGAAGGAUUCAUUUCUCUCUGAGGAUCUCAUGAGGUGGCUUAGCAGCUAGAAUCUCUUCCUUAACAGUGGGAAGAACAACUCCUGGAAAUUUAGGUCGACUUUGACUGGAUUUAAAAGAAAGCUGUACAAUUCCACUUCUGUAUAUACAACCAAAGGAAAUGAGAUGUGCAUACCCAUGUUCAAUGAAGCAUUAUUCACAAUAGCCAAAAUGUGGAACCAAUCCUUAAACAAAAGGAAAACAGAAAAUCUGCUCAAGUGGGAAGAAACUAACCCUCAUUGAGUGCCUAGUUAACAUCAGGCACUUUGUACACAUAAUCAAUUGAAUCUUGACCACAACCCUGUGAGAUCCAUGGAUGAUUCUGGGUUUAGUUCUUUGUGAGACUGCCAGAAACUCCCAGAGGCUGGAUCUAUGCAUAAAGAGAGGCCAUUGGAGAGAAUGUCUACUGAAUUGCUGAAGACAAUUGCUACCGAGAAUAGAUCGUAACUUAGGAAGAAACAAUUCAGUACCAAAAGAGUAAUUGGAGCCCUUCUGGAAAACACUAGUAAGGUGAAAAAUGAGAAGAUUAAAUAAGCCAUGGGAAGAUUUUUUAAAAUGACAUGAAACUCCAAGGGUAAAAAGUAGGCAUUUCCACCUUUCCCUGCUUCAUCCAUACCUCCAAAAACAGAACCCUUCAAAGAACGUCCUGAGAAGAACAACUGGCCACUGAUUUUGAGUUGAACACUGGCAGGCAACACCCCAACAACCACACAGACCCCAUAGCUCUCAUUGCAGGAGGCGAGGGCAGCUGCCUGUUAGAAAGUGAUGCAAUACAGUAUAGGGGUUAAAAGAUGUAUGUGAGGAUUGAGCCUACAUCUUAAUUUCAGCUUAACUCCUAAAUGGUCUAUGACUUUCUUUUCUGAUUCUCCCUAUUCUCAUUUGAAGUAACAUUUAUCUUGUAAGGAUGCUAUGAAACACAUAUAAGACGUUGUAUGUUGCUUAGUAUAGUACCUGGCACUUUAGGACUCAAUAAAUGGAAAUAACAAAAAUGAAAAUAGUAAAAACAUCCACAGUAGUGAUAAUAAUAAAAAUAAUUUUUAUAAAAAUUAUUACUGAUGCAGGUGGCUGGUAAGAAUUGACAUUUUUCUUUUAGACAUCUAAGAAGACAGAUAUUUAUAUAAUAAGAUGAUAGCAAAGUGAGAAACAGAUACCGUUACAUUCGUUAUGUUCAAAGGCUAUUUCUCAGAGUAAGAGUGUGAGAAAGGUUUUGCUGUUUCUUCUUACAG